CGCGAAUGGCUCAUUACAACAGCUAUAAUUUACUUGAUCUUGACACUAUCCUACUUGGAUAACUGUGGUAAUUCUAGAGCUAAUACAUGCAUUAAAGCUCUGACCUCACGGGAAGAGUGCAUUUAUUAGAACAAAACCAAGCGACUUCGGUCGUCUUUUGUUGACUCAGAAUAACUAAGCUGAUCGCAUGGUCUUGUACCGGCGACGUGUCUUUCAAGUAUCUGCCUUAUCAACUUUCGAUGGUAGUGUAUCUGACUACCAUGGUUGUGACGGGUAACGGAGGAUAAGGGUUCGACUCCGGAGAAGGGGCCUGAGAAAUGGCCACUACGUCUAAGGAUGGCAGCAGGCGCGCAAAUUACCCACUCUCAGAACGAGGAGGUAGUGACGAGAAAUAACGAGACCGUUCUCUACGAGGCCGGUCAUCGGAAUGGGUACAAUCUAAACCCUUUAACGAGUAUCUAUGAGAGGGCAAGUCUGGUGCCAGCAGCCGCGGUAAUUCCAGCU
rnacentral:rRNA from 1 species